rnacentral:rRNA from 1 species
UACCAGCACCCCGAGUGGUCGGGACGAUUAUUGGGCCUAAAGCAUCCGUAGCCGGCCUUACAAGUCCUCCGUUAAAUCCAGCUGCUUAACAGAUGGGCUGCGGAGGAUACUAUAAGACUGGGAGGCAGGAGAGGCAAGCGGUACUCAGUGGGUAGGGGUAAAAUCCGUUGAUCCAUUGAAGACCACCAGUGGCGAAGGCGGCUUGCCAGAAUGCGCUCGACGGUGAGGGAUGAAAGCUGGGGGAGCAAACCGG